rnacentral:rRNA from 1 species
GUUGAUGGCCAUACCACCCUGAAUGAACCCAAUCACAUCUAAUUUUGGAAGCCAGGCAGGGUUAGCACUGGUUAGUACUUGGAUGGGAGAAAAAAUGUAUACUCAAUA